rnacentral:misc_RNA from 1 species
AACGCACAUUGCGCCCUUUGGCAUUCCGAAGGGCAUGCCUGUUCGAGCGUCAUUAUCACCCCUCAAGCCCGGCUUGUUGUUGGACGACGGUGGUCGGAGAUCGAUUGCCCGCCCCAAAGAUAAUGACGGCGUCUGUGAAGACUCCAGUACACUGAGCUUCUUCGGAGCACGUAUUGGUCAGAGUUCCAGACCCGGUCAAUCAUCAUGCCUUUUAAAAGUUGACCUCGGAUCAGGUAGGGAUACCCGCUGAACUUAA